GAAUCUUAACAACUCAGCCAACUUACCACAGUGGUUAAAUGCCAAAGCCUGCAGUUAAACCCAGGCCUGGCAGUAUUCAAAUUGCACACUCUUGUGACAACACUGUACCCAAGUAGCCAUUUCAUGGGUGCUUCUUGCACAGAUGGACAGUUUGGAACAGCUGGUGGGGCUGGGGGUUGGAGGGCCUUAGUGUUGUCUUAGUGCUCCUCUCAGAUGAACUGUACAGUCUGGAAAUGGCCAGAGGCACCUAUGACUGACCUCUGGUCUCAUCACCUUACUGCCAACCCCAAAUUCACCAGGAAAGGAUUAGGAGCCCUCCUAGGUGUGCCAUUUCCCAGGAAAGAUCUCUCUUGACCAUUACUCCUGCCUUCCUUUGAAUUUUUGUGACCUUACCUACUGCAGACAGCUCUGACACCCCUGGCUAAUACAGUCUGAGGCACUGAUCAUUCCAGCUUAAAGCAGUUUGGGCAUCAUUCUUGUUUGGUUCUGAGCAUGGAUUAAAAGGCUAGAAAAUGGCUUCAAUUUGUCCAUCUAGUUCUCCAGAGAAGAUUGCCCAGGCAUGAACUAGGAUCUUUGACCUUGACAUCUGAAGCUCACAUGCUCUAGUAAUUCUGAGGAACAAGCCCAAAGCUACAGAUUGCAGGGCCUUGGGGGUAGGAGGGGAUCUUACUAUGGUAUUUGGGGACCCUUAAAGGGCAUCAUUACCCAAUACACUGGGGUCUCAAGCCAUGGGCUUUCCUGAGAUUAGUUCCACACCAACAAGUAGGAAGUCCUCUCUGAAGAACUUUGGGCUUUGAAGGCCUUUUAGCUCAAGUCCUGUGUUAUGCUCAGACUAUUUUACACAGCAGAAAUAACAGCAAAUCUUGGUUUCCCUCCAUUACAUUAAGUGUCUGCUUUGAGGGUUGCUGAGAAAGCUUAGUGUGUAAAAGUCCUUUUGACCAGGCCUGACAAUCUUAGUUCAUUUCUGGAAUAUUCACAUGGUAGAAGGAGAGAACACACGCAGAAGCUCUCUGUUCUCUGACUUCCAUAUUAACACUUUUGGCACAUGAAUACCUGGGUGCACACACAUAAUAAAUGUAAAAAAAAGAAAAAGUCUAGUUUUCAACAACAAAACAGAUGCAAGACUUAUAAAAAUGUAACGAAGUAUGUCUACACACAGGGGCAAAAGUAAACAGUUGAGUCUUUCCCCAGGGAAGUGUGGGCACUGCCUGACUAAACAAAACUUUAAGCUAGCACUUCAAAUAUGUUCAAAGACUAAAGGAAAAGAUGUCUAAAUGACUAAGAAAAAAUAUGAGCAUUGUGUCUUGCCAAAUAAAGAACAUCAAUAAGGAUGAGAAUCUUUUUAAAUGGUAGAAAUAAAUUAUGAGAUUGAAAAAGGAGCACAACAAUUAAAAUUCUCCCCUAAGGUCUCAACAGCAGCUGAACAGCUAGAAAAAUCAGUGAACCUGAAGGUAAGCAAGCCAUCUGAGCUCUGAAAAGGGGAAUUAUCAAUAGCAAAGGGGAAAACAUUGAACACAGCCACAGAGAUCAACAGGCUCAUGAGGGGACUCAAAGGACAGGAGAGGACAGGACAGAAAACAGUAGUUUUUAAAUAUUUGAAGCUAGGUGUGGUGGCGCACGCCUUUAAUCCCAGUACUCAGGAGGCAGAGGCAGGCAGAUUUCUGAGUUCGAGGCCAGCCUGGUAUACAAAGUGAAUUCCAGGACAGCCAGGGCUACACAGAGAAACCCUGCCUCAAAAUUAAUUAAUUAAUUAAGAAAAAUAUUUGAAAACUUUCUUAAUGUGAAUAAAGAUUUUAGUCUAUACAUAUAAGCUCAGCAUACUCGAAGGAUGAUAAGCUCAAAGCAAUCCAGACCUAGAACCAUCAUCAUAACUUCUGAAAAACAGACUUAACAGAAGAAAAAGGCUCUUUCAGUACCAAGAUCCUCUGUCAGGUUAGCUGUUGCGCCCACCUCAGCCGGCAAGGAAGACAAAACACUGUUGGAUUCUUCUCAACAGCCUUUAUUGCAGGAACGCCUCGAUGCUGCUACGGGGACCCCGGGCACCCAGGGAGGUCUGCUUAUAUGCACCCCAGCACAGGGAAAGGCUUCGUGUCCUCCUGGGAUAGGUUGAACUGCUGUCACCUAAUUAGCAUGUACCCGCUUGGGAGGGGUUGGCGCCUGCGCAGUGGUGUUGUUUAUGACAAAGGCACACCCGAAACCGGCGCCAUCUUAGAGUUGGCUUCCUACAGUUAGCAGCUGAUUUUCUUAUCUCAGAGAGGCUGGAAUAUAGUAAGAUGGCAUAUUUGGAAUUCUGAGAGGAAAAGACUGUCAACCAACAACUCUGUGCCCAUCAAAAUUAGUCUUCAAACUGAACAAAUUAAGAUAGUCGCAAAAAACAGACUUUAUUACCAAGCCAAUUUUAUUUUUAAGAAAUACAUAGGGAGUUUUCCAGGAGCAAAUGAAAGUACACUAAAUAGUAAAUUAAAACCAUAUGAAAAGAUAAAGGAGUCAGUAAGGAUAAUGACAGGGGUAAAUAUAAAAUGCAUUACACAAUUUUCCUAUUUAACUUAGGAAAGGAAAGGAAAGGAAAGGAAAGGAAAGGAAAGGAAAGGAAAGGAGUUCCCAAUGCUUGCACCACCACCAAAAGAGUGGGGAUGGGAAUUGGUGGGUGGGGGAGCAGAAGCAGAGCUGUUUGUGAACAAAGUUUUUGUAUACUAGAAAACCGUAGUGGGUAUGGAUUCGAACUGAAACUGGAUUGUUGUAAGGUGAUAACAGUACCUGCCAGAAGUCCUUCUAUAGUCCAGUUUGAGCUCAGUUCUGGAUAUACAGAUCUCCUGAGACCCAAGAGUAACCACUAGGUAAACUACUCAAAUACAAAAUGAAAGAAAUGGCAGAGUCACUGGAGCAAUCCAUAAAAGCUGAGGGCCAGCAGGCGUGGUGGUGUACACCUUUAAUCUCCAUUCAGAAGGCAGAGGCGGGCAGCUCUCUAGUUCAAACUGACCCCAGUCUACAAAGCAAGUUACAGGAUAGCCAGGGCUACACAAAGAAACCCUAUCUUGGGGUGGGGGUAGGGGUGGAGAGCUGAGAAGCCCCAACCACUAGGGGAGAGAGAGGUGCAUACUUUUGCUUUGCCUUAUGUCCUCUUCCACACAUAACUGAAAAUACCCAAGUUCCCCCAGUUUCCCAAGUACUUUCCCAGAUAACAUCAUGUUUCCUUCUCAAUGCAAUCCCAUGAGGAUGUUGGGGCAGCAGGAAGAUGGCUUGGUGGGUAAGAAUGCUUACCAUACAAGCAUGAAGACCUGGGUUCAGAUCCCCAGCACCUAUGUAAAACGCUUGAUGUAGUUGUCUGUUUGCCUAAAAUCCUAGCACUGUGGGAAGCAGAGACAGAAGGGCAGCUGGGCUUUGCUGAUCAGACAACCUAGCCAACACUGUAAACUCCAGUGUCAGUGAGAGACCCUGUAUUAAGGGAAUAAGGUAAGAAUAACAAGAAUAACAGAGAAGGACAUUCAACACCCUCCUCUGGCUACUCCACACACACACACACACACCAGAAAAAAAAAGAGAGAGAGAGAGAAGUGAAGACUGGUUCAGAGAUUAAGCAGCCCAGGGACACUAGUAACUAACUGUGAGAGCUGAGGCUAUGCGGAGUUCAGUCCUGUUCAGGAUCUGUCCCCACAGAGCAGGUCAGUGACUGGCCCCCAGGAUGCUCACUUGCAAGUUGUUUCAUCCUUUUUCUAAUGUCAGUUAUGGGAAGCAUCACACCUAGAGCAGAGCAGAGAGAGCAGAAUAAACCCUCACGCUCCCAUCACUUAUCUUCAGUUUAUGUCUGCAAUGACAGAGCCCUUUUCUAUGACAAGGCCCUAUGUCUCACCAAUUAUAUUUUUGAAUCAGAUCCUAAAUACAUCCAUUCAGAUGAAACUUUUUGGUAUCUGUCCUUAAAACAUACUCAUUUUUAAAAGCAUACUCACAAUGCUUGUAUCACGUUUAAAGAGAUUAACACUACAUUAAUAUAAUAAGCAAAUUUCUAAGUAUUUUACUUCCUGGAAAACAUUGUUUUUAGAGUUCAAGUGUGGAUCCAAAUAUUAUUCAUAUGCUACAACUGGCUGGAGCCUCUUAAACUUCUGUUCAUUCAAAAGUUUUAUCCAUUUCUUUGUCCCUAAUAGUUUAUUUGUUUUGUAGAGUCUCCAAGAGUCAGCAGCUCCUUAACAUCUCUAGCAUGUUUUCUGCUGCCCAUAUCCCUAUCAUACUACUUGUAAGUUAGAUUUAGAGACAAGCAGAUUAAAUAUUCAUUUUUCUUACAAGAACAUUUCACAGAUGUUGUUUGUCCUCUGGUCUGGGGUAUAUAGGACUGGCUGUCUACUCCCCCACACACACACAAUAUUUAAAUCUUUCCAGCUAGAAAUAGCUUACUUUCUGAUGCUGGAAGAAGUGUUAUAGAAGGCUGGUUCAUCACUACAUUGGAAUUUUAUGCAGUCAUCACUGAUAAGAGUUUUCAAAGAAUACUGUGUGACAUGAGGGAAGAAAUGCUUACAAUGUUAAAGAAUGAGUGGGUACCAACAAUGCAUAAGGGGCUAGUGAGAUGGCUCAAUUGUCAAAAGCACUUCGCUGCAGCUGGUAACAGGAGUUUGAUCCCAGGGAUUCCCACAGAAAUGGAAGAAGAGAGAUAACUCUACAAACUUGCCUGGGACCUCCACAUACCACAUACACACACAUCACAUGCACAGAUACACUAAUAAAAACACGUUAAGUGUUUGUUUCAUAGAAGCUGGGCAUGAUGGUCAGACCUAGAAUCCCAGUGCUUGGGAAGUUAGGAGCAGGAGGAUUGACAGUUGUUCACAAGGCCAUCCUGGACUGUCUAGUGAGUUCUAGGUUAAGCAGGACCUGAGAGUAAGGCCCCAUCUUGGAAAAAAUUAC
rnacentral:lncRNA from 1 species